CAGCAGCCGCGGGAAUACCAGCAGCCCAAGUGGUGGUCGCGCUUAUUGGGCCUAAAGCGCUCGUAGCCUGGCCGGUAAGUUCCCCGUGAAAUCGGGUCGCCCAACGAUUCGGCUUGCGGGGAAUACUGUCGGUCUUGGGGCCGGGAGACGCCGAGGGUACUCCGGGGGUAGCGGUGAAAUGCUGUAAUCCUCGGGGGACUACCAGUGGCGAAGGCGCUCGGCGAUAACGGGCCUGACGGUGAGGGGCGAAAGCUGGGGGCGCGAACGGGAUUAGAUACCCCUGUAGUCCCUGUCUCUUAUA
rnacentral:rRNA from 1 species